AAUCGACGUUUCAGUCCUACUCAAGGACUUUCAUCAGGAUUAUGUAAACCCUGAUGAAAGUUUACAUAAUCCUGAUGAAAGUCCUUGAGUAGGACUGAAACGUCGAUUUUUUUUUUAUUUAUUUUUUAUUUUU